rnacentral:rRNA from 1 species
GCAAGUCGAGCGAUCCCUUCGGGGAUAGCGGCGGACGGGUUAGUAACGCGUGGGAAUAUGCCCAAAGGUACGGAACAACAGUUGGAAACGACUGCUAAUACCGUAUGUGCCCUACGGGGGAAAGAUUUAUCGCCUUUGGAUUAGCCCGCGUUGGAUUAGGUAGUUGGUGAGGUAACGGCUUACCAAGCCUACGAUCCAUAGCUGGUUUGAGAGGAUGAUC